AGGAUAAACGCUGGCGGCGUGCUUCAGGCAUGCAAGUCGAACGAGCACUUUGGUGCUAGUGGCGGACGGGUGAGUAACACGUAAGUAACCUGCCCGGAAGUGGGGAAUAACUGACCGAAAGGUUAGCUAAUACCGCAUACGAUGGUCCUUCCCUGGAGGGGUCAUCAAAGGCGAAAGUCGCUUCCGGAGGGGCUUGCGGCCGAUUAGUUAGUUGGUGGGGUAAUGGCCUACCAAGACUGCGAUCGGUAGCUGGUCUGAGAGGACGGACAGCCACACGGGGGACUGAGAUACGGCCCCGACUCCUACGGGAGGCAGCAGCUAGGAAUCUUGGGAAUGGGCGAAAGCCUGACCCAGCAACGCCGCGUGGGUGAUGAAGGCCUUCGGGUUGUAAAGCCCUUUUGCAGGGGAAGAUGAUGACGGUACCCUGCGAAUAAGCCACGGCUAACUACGUGCCAGCAGCCGC
rnacentral:rRNA from 1 species